GACGAACGCUGGCGGUGUGCUUAACACAUGCAAGUCGAACGGAAAGGCCCUGCUUUUGUGGGGUGCUCGAGUGGCGAACGGGUGAGUAACACGUGAGUAACCUGCCCUUGACUUUGGGAUAACUUCAGGAAACUGGGGCUAAUACCGGAUAGGAGCUCCUGCUGCAUGGUGGGGGUUGGAAAGUUUCGGCGGUUGGGGAUGGACUCGCGGCUUAUCAGCUUGUUGGUGGGGUAGUGGCUUACCAAGGCUUUGACGGGUAGCCGGCCUGAGAGGGUGACCGGCCACAUUGGGACUGAGAUACGGCCAAGACUCCUACGGGAGGCAGCAGUGGGGAAUAUUGCACAAUGGGCGGAAGCCUGAUGCAGCAACGCCGCGUGCGGGAUGACGGCCUUCGGGUUGUAAACCGCUUUCGCCUGUGACGAAGCGUGAGUGACGGUAAUGGGUAAAGAAGCACCGGCUAACUACGUG
rnacentral:rRNA from 1 species